rnacentral:rRNA from 1 species
GGUUGAUCCUGCCAGUAGUCAUAUGCUUGUUUCAAAGAUUAAGCCAUGCAAGUCUAAGUAUAAGCUAAUUUAUACGGCAAAACUGCGAAUAGCUCAUUACAACAGUUAUAAUUUACACGACGAUCAUUACCAAAUGGAUAUCCAUGGUAAUUCUGGAGCUAAUACAUGCAAAAACACCCAACUUUUGUGGAAGGGUGGCAUUCAUUAGUUACCUAGAACCAAUCACGGGCGACCGUGUUUCUGGUGAUCAUAAUGACGGAGCGGAUCGCAUUUUAUGCGACAGUUCGUUCAAG